rnacentral:rRNA from 1 species
UACGAGGGGGGCGAGCGUUGUUCGGAAUUAUUGGGCGUAAAGGGUGCGUAGGCGGUUCCGCAAGUCCUGUGUGAAAUCUUCGGGCUCAACUCGAAGUCUGCACGGGAAACUGCGGGGCUUGAGUGUGGGAGAGGUGAGUGGAAUUCCUGGUGUAGCGGUGAAAUGCGUAGAUAUCAGGAGGAACACCUGUGGCGAAGGCGGCUCACUGGCCCGGUACUGACGCUGAGGUGCGAAAGCGUGGGGAGCAAACAGG